rnacentral:lncRNA from 1 species
CACAGUCGAAGUUUGAAGGGAGUUGCCAGACCCCUGAUCAACAAGUGGUUACAUACGACAAUAUUAAAAAAAAAAACUCUUUGAAGGAAAAAUAAACUGUUUUUUUUUAGAAGAGAGAAAAUAAAAGUAAAUUACAUCAGUGCGUAAGGUAAACACAAACGAGUUUGCAGGAAUCGUAGGAACAACUGCAGGGGAACAAAAGAAACAUUCAAAUACGUAAAAAAAGGGGGGGAGGACACAAGGCCUCCCCGUGAAAAGAACAUCAAAGAUGCCCGUCAGGGCGGGCCACGGGAAAGGAAAUGACGUAGGUCACUUGAAGGAAGGCCAGAACGUCCGGCACGUGGUCCGACGGCGACGAACAACAGGUACGGUAGAACGCCCAAUUGAAGACAGCUCAGUAGCGGCAGUUGCAGGGACCCCAUUGGGGGGGAGCAGUUGCGGGAAUCACGCCAGAGACAGCAGCAGGGACAGGAAGCCCAGAUGGAGCACCAGUGGCAGGGAGUCGGUUACCUGGAGCAGUUGCCGUCGCCGGAAUGACAAUACCGGUUCCGUUGGAGACUCGCCAGAGAGCACGAAUGCGUUGCUGGACCUCCGAAACCAGAUGAGACAGACGAGGAUUACCUGCAGCAAAUUCCUGGACAUCACAAAUAUGUUGAAGAAGAUCAUCUGGCCAAACAGCUCGCUGACGCGCCAACUCAGAUCCCAGUUCCUCCAGCAGAUCAUCAAGAGAAGACAUGAUAAAUGAGGAGAAAUCAAUCAAAUGAAAGAAAAUACCCUAUUUAUAGGAUAAGAGGAGGGGGGAGUACUGAUGGUACCCUCAAUCCAUCAGCCCAGGCCCACACAGUCCAGAAACAAGGCCCAGCGAAGUGAACAAAAGAGGAAGGCCCAAACCGCUCCACGGGUAUUCGCCCGACCGGGUCGACCGGACGGAUUCAUUGGCCCGGACAGUUAUCUCUCCAAGGGUUGCGUCCCAAGUGUGUCGGGUCCUUUAGGCCGGAUCCUAGUCUGAAAACGUAGGGUCCAGAUUCCGGUAGGAGAUUGUAUAAAUACCCCUAGGGGUGAAGUGUAAAGGGGGGGAGAACAAUUGUUACUAUACUUAUAAUAUACGAGAUCAGUCACCUUUCCAUAAGGACGCGAUCAGGUAGGCAACGAGAUCCCAGCACGAACAACAAAAAUGGUUACCAGAAGCUCAGUUGGGAUCAUUAAACCCAACCCAAAGUUUGCCUUGAUCACAGCAGCAUCGGAGAUCCCAACUCCAAAAUCGGCAAAAUCAGCGAUGCUUAUUCCUCAAUGAAAGGAGGCUAUGACCAAAGAAUUCAACGCACUCCAAGAAAAUGGUACCUGGACUCUGGUUUCACGUCGACCAGAAGAUAACAUAAUCAACACCAAAUGGGUGUUCAAGGUUAAAUCAAAAGCGGACGGCACGGUAGAGCGCUUCAAGGCACGUCUCGUUGCAAAUGAGCUACGACAGAUCGAUUCACGGCAUGGACUAUUUUGAUACGUUCAGCCCGGUGGUUCGUCCAUUAUCGAUUCGACUAGUGUUACUCUUGGCUGUAUCCAAAGGGUGGAACCUUCAUCAAGUCGACGUAUCAAAUGCCUUUUUACACGGCAGUCUCAAAGAAAGGAUUGCGGUAGCACAACCAUACGGGUUCAUCGAUAAUCAACAUCCGGAUCAAGUCUGCCUCCUUCACAAGUCAUUACACGGGCUGAAACAAUCACUGAGAUGUUGGUUCAAGAAACUAAGUAGGUUCUUGGGAAUACUAUUAUUCAAAGAAUCCGCCGUCGAUCCUUCACUUUUCAUUUAUCGAAAAGCAUCAACUAUGAUAUUCCUAUUCGUCUACGUCGACGAUAUCCUAAUAGUAGGAUCAAAUGAGGAAGAAGUCAAGAAAGUAAUAAAUAGAUUGGGCACUGAAUUUCCCAUACGUGACCUGGGUACUCUCGAUUAUUUCCUCGGCAUUCAGGUCAAAAGAGUUAAAGAUGGGUUAUAUUUAUCUCAAACCCGGUAUCUUCUAAAUCUUCUCCAAAAUUGCAACAUAGGGGAACUAAAAGCAGUCUCCACUCUGAUGCUCGAAAACAUCGAACUUCACUCAGAAGAACCGAUCAUUGAUGACCCAAGUGAAUUUCGACGAAUCAUAGGAUCACUACAGUACAUCACCCUAACAAGGCCGGAUGUUCAAGUCGCGGUGAAUCGGCUAGCUUAAUUUAUGGCCGAACCAAAAAUGGUUCAUUGGAUAGCAGUAAAACGCGUUCUGGGUUACUUACUUGGAACUCAAAAACACGGCAUUGCACUACGAAAAAUAAACAAUUUUGGGAUCACGGCAUACUGUGACGCCGAUUAGGGAGGUGACACAACCGAUCGCAAAAGUCGUACGGGUUUUCUAGUAUACGUCGUAGGAAACAAAGCACGCUAGCUCGAUCGAGCACGGAGACCGAAUAUCGUGCAAUAGCCACUACGACCCAAGAAAUAGAAGCAGUUCGCUCGACACUGAUUGAGUUGGGAGUAGAAGUACCACGGCCUAUGGCAAUUCUAUCAGACAACUUAGGAGCUACCUUCAUCACGAAAAAUCCGAUUGGACAUAUAAAGCUCAAACAUGUAACACUUGACCUCCACUUCGUCUGCGAAAAGGUAGAAAACGGAGACUUCAUCGUAAAGCAUGUUCCCGGGCGUGAACAAUGGGCAGAUAUUUUGACUAAAGCACUACCGCCUAGAAGCUUCUCUAUACUAUAAGAAAAGCUCGUCGGUGAAGCUCCGGUGGGCUUCCAGGAAGGGGGUGUGUUAGAGAAUAAUAUUAGUUAGUUAUAUAACUAAUAACUGUUAGAAAUAAUAGUAUAAAUACAUGAUCAAACGAUAUACAAAAUACACAAUUUUGGUUAUCAUCCUCACCAUCUUAUAUAUUGUAAUGAAAUACUUUAUAAUUUAAUUACAACAAUCAUCAUUAUCGACAUCGAAAAUAUCUCUAUUUGGUAUUUGAAGGACUGAACUCCAUUCAGAUUCUAUCGAAUAUUGAAUGUAGAAACAUUGUUGAGUCUGAUUUGCCAAAAUAAAAGGUUCCUUUCCAAAUUUUUCCCGUGUCGUGUUCACUGAAACGACACCAAAAUCAUCGACUUUUGUACCUGCUUUUCUAGGAUCGUACCACUUACAUUCAAACAGACAAUAUUUAGUCGUGUGACCGUAGCAAAUUUCGAAAAUAUUUUUUAAUAAUCCAUGAUAUUCAAUUUCUGCUACCAACGGAGCAUCAUUUGGAGAUUUAGCAUACGUUGAUGUUGUAGCCGAAAGAAAAAUACCGUUAUUUUGCGUCGAUCUACUAUUUGUCAAUUCUGAUGUCUGAAAUUUUAAUCCAUUCAUAAUGUAAUCACUAUAAAUUGAAGCAAAAUAACUUGGUCCGCGGGAAAUAGAAUUUAAAUCUUUGUCGGAUUGUUGAACUUCGGACAUGUGUUUCUGAAACCAUUCGACAAAUUGUUUAAAGUGUAAAUUUUCCAGACGGAGCUGCGUGUGUUUUGGAAACAUAACUUUCAAUUGAUUCAAGUGUUUAUUUCGAUAUGGUUCUACACUUUCAAGGUCAAACAAUAUACAUUGAUGCAACUGUUUCUGUUGUAAAGUAGUCAACGUUAUAUCAGUCGGUGCAUUUAAAAACCCAUUGAUAUAUCUAUCUGGCCGAUUUGAUUUUGUCUCGACAUUUUGUAAAAACCAAAAACAAAACGUCAUUGAUUCUUCAACAAGAUAACUUUCCGCAAUAGAUCCUUCCGGGUGAUGGAUAAUAGCACGACGCAUGAUAGAUAAUAAUUUCUGAAAACUUUUAUCACUCCAAUGAUUGUCGUAUUUCAACUGAUACAAUUCCAAGAUAAAAGAUAAUUUGGAAAACUCUGUGCAAUCUGGAUAUAACUGUACUUCAAUUGAUAAUUAAAAUGAUAAUUUAAUAAUUUAUUUUAACAAUAAAUUAAAUAAUUUGAAAAUAAAUUGAUUAAAUAAAAUUAUAUAAUUUUUACUGGAAAUGAGCUUUUACUUCAAUCCAAAACUUACUUCAAUCUCGAUUUUAAAAAACCUAUAACAAAUCAAAAACACAUUAAUUAUUUUAUAUAAAUUUUAAAUUAUUUAAAAACAUAAAUUAAUUAAUUAUUUUAAUUAUUUUUUAAAUUAUUUAAAAAUAGAAAAUAAUUAAAACAAAUUUAUUUCAUGCAAAUAAUUAAUUAAGAUAUAGAUUCAUGUAAAUUGUUAAUUAAAUUGAUAUUUAAUUACAAUUAUUUAAAUAAUUUAAAAAUAAGUUGAUUAAAUAAAAAAUUUAAUUAUUUUCAAACAGAAAAUAAUUAUAUAAUAAAAUAAUUAUUUCUUUAAAUUCUUUCUAAUAUAUAAAUUAAAAUAAUAUAAAAACAGUAAUUAAAUAAUUCAUUUUAAUUACUAGAUAUUUUUCCAGAUUUAAUGAAUUUGCAUGCUUAAAGUAACCUCCAAAAUAUCCAACGAAUUCAUUCUGCUUAAUUUAUAAUUUCGUAUUCAAAUUUAUAAUAUCAUAUGUUUUGAUAAAAUCCAAACCAAGUAAAGAUAAUCUUAAAUCGUAAGAAGGAAUCAUAAAAAAUAUCUACAACUUUACACGAUACCUAAAGAUUUACUUAUUGCAUUGAAAUGUAGGUGAAAGUUUGGCAUGAUCCCUAUAAUAACUCAUACUUUGAACUAAAACAAUUCAUACAAUCAUAGGUUGAAUCCUGAAAAUUAUUUUUAAAUUCUAAACAAUUUUCUAAAUUUAAAAAUCUUGUGGAACAACAACCUAUCUUAUAAUAUUGGAUUGAUAUCAAACUAAAGAUACUCUACAACAACCUAUCUUAUAAAAUAAACUUAAGAAGACUCCACAAAAUCCUCAUCAAAUGAAACAAAUCACCAAAAAGCAAAAGCUUAAUACAUUCAUAAAUUAAUUACCAAAAAAAUUACAGCAAAUACAUUCAUAAAAUCUCCCCUAAUUACAAUAAACACAAUUAUAAAACCCUACAAAAUCACAGUACAUACAAAUAUACAAUCAUACCCCCCCAGAUCAUGACAAAUACAUUCAACUACAUUACUGACAUACUGGCAUUACAACAACCAAAUUAACAAAAAAAAAACAAUGUAAACAAUAACAAAAAAUACAACAACCACAUUGUAAAUAAGAUAAACAAACAAUGAAGGAGAAACAACAUGAAUACAAAGAAACAAAAUACCUACGGUCACUUAACGAUGGAGGAGAAACAUUGCUGAUGAUGGGACACCAAUGAUGACCGGUGAGGCGAGGGGCAGCGCACGGCGAAGCGAGGGGCAGCGCACGGCGAAGCGAGACCGACCGGCGGGAGAGAACGGCGGUGAGAAAUCGGGAGUCGGCGGUCUCUCUGGAUUUUGCGAAUGUGGUUGCGGUCUGUCUGGAUUUGGGGUUUUUAUUAAACCCCAACUUUUACAUGGCGGAUUUCCGCCAUUUAAGUGCACUUAAGUUCCGCCCGGACUUAAGUGAAAGUCCGCCCAAUCGAAAUUUGGGCGGGCUUUUUCCGCCCGAGUCCCCGAAUACUUAACAUGGCGGAUGUUAAGUCAAUUUAAUCGGGUAAUCGGGCUGAAUAUUGGGGGCCAUUCGAAAUUUUGGGCAGGAUAGUUUAGAUUGAGGAUUUCCGCCAUCUAAACACCGCCAUCGAAAGUAAUUUCGAACCGCCGUCGAGCCAAAACUUUUCCUCGGCGGACUCAAUGAAUAGAUGGCGGACAUCCGCCAUCUAAACAACUGGAUUACUGAUGGCGGAUUUCCGCCAUCUAAAGACCGCCCGCUAUACAAGGUCCUUUUUUUUGUAGUGUCAACUCCAUAUUGUUAAUUCUGUUUUAAACAGAUUAAUAAAUCACAUUGUUAAUUUCAUUGCUUCUUAGUGUCAUUUUGUAAUCAAUUCAAUACUAAAAAUUCUGCUUCAAGCAAAUUUAUAUUCUUUCUAUUUCAUUGUGUUUAAAUUUCUGUUAUUUUCUUCUCGUUUUAAAUCAAAUGAAUAAACUAAUUUCUACUAUAUUCUUGUGAGAUUUUAUUACUAUCUACAUCUCAUAGUAUUAAUUUAAUCUAGACAGAUAAAUUCUGAUUCUUUACAUGGUAUCAGUUUAGCUAUGGUUUAAUUCUGGGAUUCUCAUAGUUCUCUUAGUUUAACACUACUUUCUGCGAAUUCACUCUUAAAGGUUGAGAUGGCUACUCUACCUACACAUACAACUGUAGUUACAUCUCAACAAACACACUUAGGACAUGUAUCCUACAAUAUUUUCAGCAUGGUUCCUGACAGGCUAGAGAGGGGAAAUUACUUGACAUGGAAGAAUCAAUUUGAGUGUGCCCUGAGGGUACACAAAUUUAUGAAGUAUGUAAAUGGAACUACUUCCUGUCCAGCCCCUAGAGUGGAAAAUGACAUGGCAAACCCUGAGUAUGAUGAAUGGGUGGCCAAUGAUAAUUUGGUGUUAGGAUGGAUUAAAGCUACAGUCAACAACCAAUAUCAGCUCAUGCUUCAAAAGUGUGAGUUUGCGUAUGAUGGUUUGACUAGUUUGGAGAAAUUACUGUCACCAACAAGCAAUACUCAGGUGACAGUAAUAAAAGAACAACUCAGGACUCUGAAGAAGUCAGGCACAGAGACAAUGCAAGAGUACAUUGUCAAGGUUAAAGGUUUGGUAGAGUCUUUGGAAGCCACUGGAGAAAAUCUGAACAGUAAUUGCUUGAGAGAUUAUAUUCUAGGUGGAUUGGGGUUUGAAUAUAAAUGCUUAUUAACUACAGUAAGAAAUAGAACACAAACUCCUACAUUUGAUGAACUGGCUGAUAUGCUUUUAGGAGAAGAGUUACUUGUAAAAAGAAUUGAAGAAGAAAAUCAAGCUCAAGUAACUGUUGCUAUGGCUGCCUAUACUGGAUACAGAGGCCAGAGUACUAAUUACAGAGGAUAUAAUUCAAAUUACAGAGGUCAUAACCUUGGCUACAGAGGCAACAAUGUCAAUUAUAAUCUAAAUUACAAUCACAAUCCUAAUCAUUACUACAAUCCAAAUUACUAUCCAAACCACAACUAUAAAACCACAACCAUCCAAACUAAAACUAUCAACCACAAUAAAACUAUAAUUACAGACCUAGCUAUCAUCUCCAACCAAACUACAGACUACCUUAUUCAUAUCAACAAUAUCAGAAUAAUUACCCAAGGCCUUCACCACCACAAAAUCUUCAAAGACCACAACCACCACCAAACUUUAAAACACCAGCCUUUAUAGAUCAAUCCCAAAAUUGUCAAAUUUGUGACAAAAAUUAACAUCUUGCUAAACAAUAUCCUGAUUAUAAUAAUUUCUCAGCUCUAAGUACAACAGUAACAUCUAUACCUCAAUCAAUAUCCUACCCAAUAUCUCAACCAACAAUUCCUGAAUAUUCUGCAUUUCAACAUACAAACACUCCAGCAUAUAUAGAAAGUUAUCAGACACCACCAGAGAUGGCAAUGUCAGCUGCAACUACACAGGAUAACUCAUCCAGAAGGUGUCUAGACUCUGGGGCAUCCAGCCACAUGACACCUGAUCUCACAACCUUCACUGCUUAUGAAACAGCUCCAGGUACACAAUAUGUAAUUGUUGGGAGUGGUGACUAUUUACCAGUAAAAUACAGAGGGAUAGUAACUCUAAAAUUUAAAGGAAAGGACUAUAAAUUAGGAGUACUAUGUGUACCUGGGUUAAAGAAAAAUUUGAUGUCAAUUCAGAAAUUAUCUAAGGAUUUGAAUUGUAUAAUUGUUUUUAAUGAUAAAACUUUUUUGGUAAAGGACCAAGGCACUAUGGAGACAUUAUUUUCUGGCAGUAUCUCAGAAGGUCUAUACCACAUCUAUCCAGACAGUCAAGCCUGUUAUGGGGUGAGAGCUUCAAAAGAAAUGUGGCAUGACAGGUUAGGGCACCCAUCUGAGACAGUAAUGAAGCAAACUGAAUCUGAAUUACAAAUAAAAACUCAAGGAGGAAGGAGAACUGAUUUUUGUCCAAUAUGUCCAUUAGGGAAGAUUCAUCAAUUACCCUUUACAAGAAGGGAUGUAAUAGCUUUAGAACCACUAAAAACCUUACAUAUAGACCUUUGGGGUCCAUGCGAGCUCCUACAACUUCUGUAACAAAUUUUAGAUUUUAUAUCUCAAUUGUUAAUGAAUGCACAAGAUUUAUAUGGUUUUAUCCAAUAAGUAACAAAUCUGAUAUUUUUUCAUUUUUUGUCAAAUUUCACAAUCUUAUAGAGAGGUAUUUAGGUCAGAAAGUAAGAGAGGUUUAGACUGACCAAGGAGGGGAGUUUGUGAACUCUAGAUUCAACAUACUUAGAAGAGCAAGGAAUUAAUCAUAAGUUGUCAUGUGCAUACACUCCACAACAACAUGGAUUAGUAGAAAGAAGGCACAGACAGAUCUUAGAGGUAGGGAGAUGUUUAAUGAUCAAAGCAGGGAUACCAAGGGAAUACUGGCCAGAAGUAUUUUCCUCUGCAGUAUAUUUAAUAAAUAUAUUAAAAACACCCACCUUGGAAGGUAAGAGUCCAUUUGAAAUCCUAAUGAAAAGAUCUCCAGACUACUCAAUUUUGAAAACCUUAGGAUGUGAAUGCUACCCUCUACUACCAAGAGAAGGAAGAGAUAAACUAAUGCCUAAAUCUAAAAGAAGUGUAUUUUUGGAUUAUACUACACAACACAAAGGAUACAGGUGUUUAGAUAUUGAAAUAAAAAAGAUUAGGAUUUGCAGAAAUGUAGUGUUUAAUGAGAAUUCAUUUCCAUUUACUGAUUCUCUAAAAUCAGUAAAUACUCAAUCCAAACAAAAAAGACCUGUAGAACUGAUAUCUCAAAUAAGGGUACCAUUCACAAAAACAAUACAUCAUGUAGAUGAAUCAACCACUGAUGGUAGGAUUACUGAUAUGUCAAAUGAAAUAUAAAGCUUAGGUAGGAGUGAGUCUAAUUUUCCACCUAAUAGGGAUAUUAUUCAGAACAUACCAAACAAUCAAACCAGUUUGAAUGAAGUAGAGAGCUUAGGCAGGAAUCAUUAUGAUUCUCUGUCUAACAGAGACUUGAGUCUUGAUAGAUCAAUUCAGUCACAGUCAAGUUUAUAUAGGUCAAAUAAUGACAGUUUUGAACCAGAUCCAUCAACUGUCAUCCCAAAUACUGAGAUUAGGGUUAAUUUGGAAUUAAAUCCAAAUACAAACUCAUCUGCUCUUAAUAAUCCAAUUAAGAGUGCUCCUCCUAUUCAAGAUUUGAGAAGGUCGGUAAGAGAGAAAUUUCCAAAUGUGUUAUAUAAAAAUUAUGAUAUAUCUAAUAAUGUGACUAUUUCUAAUGAUAUUGUUGAGCCAAGAUGUUUCUCACAUGCUAAUAAGAAUAAAUGUUAGAAGGAAGCAAUGGAGGAGGAGAUGAAAGCAAUUAAAGAAAACAAUAUGUGGGUAUUGGUACCAAAAGAAGAUUAUAUGAAUGUGAUAGGGUCGAAAUGGGUGUAUAAAAUCAAAAGGAGGUCAGAUGGAAGCUUUGAGAGAUGUAAAGCCAGACUUGUGGCCCAAGGAUACAAUCAGGAGGAAGGGGUGGACUUUUAAUAUACAUAAAGUCCAGUGGUUAAAAUAUCAACUGUUAGAACUGUUCUUUCAAUUGCAAUAAGUCAUGGAUGGUCACUAAGACAACUUGAUGUGAGGAAUGCCUUUUUAAAUGGAAACCUUCAUGAGACAGUAUAUAUGAGGCAACCAAAGGGUCUUGAAGACAGAAAUAGAAUGGGAGAUGUGUGCCUACUUCAGAAGGCAUUAUAUGGACUGAAACAGGCUCGUAGGCCCUGGUAUCUUAGAUUGCACCAGUACUUAAUUUCAGAAGAAUUUAAGAAUUCAGAUGUUGAUGCAUCACUCUUUUACAAGGUUAAUGGUGGAUUUAAAUUGUUAAUAUUAAUUUAUGUGGAUGACAUUGUUAUUACAGGUUCACAUAAAGAAGAGAUAGAUAAAUUUAUAAAGAAGUUAUGUGAGACUUUCCAAUGCAAAGAUAUGGGUAAGCUCAGUUUCUUCUUUGGCAUUCAGUGCAUAUAUCAAGGAGAGAAUGUGGUAUUGUCCUAAGAGAAUUAUGUGAAAGACAUAUUGAAAAGGUUUGGCUAUGAUAAGUCAAUUCCAGUAAGAACACCUAUGACCUUAUCAACAAAACUACAUCAUGAUAUGAGGGACCCUUUGGAAGAUAUCACAGGAUAUAGAAGUAUGGUCGGAAGCCUGCAGUAUUUGUCCCUCACUAGACCUGAUCUAUCCUUUGCAAUCAAUCAGGUGUGUUAGUUUCUCCAAAAUCCUAAAGAAGGGCACUUAUUGGCAGUUAAAAGAAUUUUCAGAUAUUUACAAGGGACCACAAGCUUGGGAUUGAGAAUUACUAAAGGAUCAAGGGAUACUAUGAAUCUAAUUGCGUAUAUAGAUUCUGAUUGGGGAGGAUGACCAGAUAGAAGAUCAAUCACUGGAUGAAGUGUUUGGUAUGGAAAUAGCCUACUAUCAUGGUCUGCUAAAAAGCAACCAACAGUGUCAAACUCAAGUUCAGAGGCAGAAUUUAAGGCAAUAAUGGCUCAUGUCACAUCAGAGGUUAGAUGGUAUUGCUAUUUGUUUAGAGAGUUGGGGAUCAAACUAUUAUCACCUUCCAACUCUCCUAUGUUAUAGUCGAUCCGCAAUAUUCAUGGCCAAAAAUCCUACAAUUACAUCACGCUCAAGACAUAUAGAAAUAUCAUACUACUUUAUAAGUGAAUUAAUAAACAGAGGGGUACUUAAAAUCGAAAAUGUACCUACAAGCUUGCAGCUUGCAGAUGGAUUCACCAAGGUACUGGGUACCGAUGACUUCUUACGACCUCGCCAUCGCCACAAGUUAGUCCCAGUGCAGUCACCUCAAUCAGAGCCACCUAAUUCAAAUCUUACGCGAGGAAUCCCUCCAGAUUUGAGGGAGGAUGUAAAAUAUCAAGGAGAAGGCAGUCAUAGUCCAGCCACCUAAUUCUGAAUAUUUAGGAUUAGGAAUGCACGACCCGGAUCCGAUACCUGAAAACAAGGG